rnacentral:rRNA from 1 species
UACAGAGGAUGCAAGCGUUAUCCGGAAUGAUUGGGCGUAAAGCGUCUGUAGGUGGCUUUUAAGUCCGCCGUCAAAUCCCAGGGCUCAACUCUGGACAGGCGGUGGAAACUACCAAGCUGGAGUACGGUAGGGGCAGAGGGAAUUUCCGGUGGAGCGGUGAAAUGCGUAGAGAUCGGAAGGAACGACCCGUGGCGAAAGCGAGGUCCUGGACGUUUUCUGACGCUGAGACGCGAAAGCCAGGGAGCGAACGGG